UGCACAGGAGUUCUAUUGUCGGGUAUUUUUAAUAAUAUUUAAAAAAGGAGUUCUUAGUAUGUCCUUGGAAUUCUACUGUCGUUGGAGUUCUACGGUCGCCAUACCUUGCCUGAUGGCUAUUGGCUGUCACUAGGUGGAUAAAGCUAUGUCCGCUAGAUGGCACGAAUGGGUCCGUUAGUGACGAAAUUUCUGUCAUUUGUUCUAAAGACACUGAGCGGAAAGGUUACUCACUUACUCAUUCUCUAUUAUUGCAGCCAGGUGAAGUCUGCGCUUCUUUGUUGCAGUCUAAUGUGCACAUGGAUUGGUUGCAGUCAUCCAGUGAAAGGUGUGAUUAAAUUUUGCUGUUGCAUGCAGUCUUUGGUGCUGAUGUUGUCCUGGAGUGUGGAAGAGUUCCAUGCUUCAAGUUUUCUGGGAUCAGCCAUAUCUGAGUUGACGCUGGAUCAUGCUGCAUUGUGGUUGCCGAAAUGUUGGGACAUAUAGUAGAACUGCAAGAAGACUCCUUGAAAUGGUUUAUGUUUACGUAGCAGUGAUGUUGCUGUCCAAUAUGGCAUGUUGUUGCAGCCUAUACUGGUAAAAGAUUUUUUGCAUCGAGUUAUGCUGUUGCUGUUCCUUGGUGCCGGACUGCUGGUGUUGUGCACAAAAGUUACAUCCAGUUUUAAUUGUUAUUUGUGUCUAUGCAGUUAACCGUUUAUAUGUUGAAAAAGAACAGGAAAGUUCCUUGGUGUUGAAUCGCUAGUGUUGUGCUACAUAAGUUACAUCCAGUAUUUUGUUUAAUUGCUAUUUGCGUCUAUGAAGAUAACCGUUUAUAUGUUGAGAAUGAAAAAAAUAGUAAUUCGGGGAAUUUUGACGUUGAACAAAUAAUAAACAUGCCUUCGCGAUUGGGAAAUCAGCGAGGAGGAGAUUGGGGGGAGGGGUGCAAUUGAUUUUCAUUAACUAGAAGAAGGCGUGGUUUGUUUUAAUAAGGUAG